GCUGCCCCUAGUGGCUUUGCUGGUGGGGCUUCUGUGUCAGUAGGUGGCAGAGAGGAGAGAGGUUUUGUCUCCUAUCCUCAGUGUUCUGACCUAUGAACAUCAGAACGUUUAGUAGUGAAACAAU
rnacentral:snoRNA from 1 species